UAUUCACCAAUCCAGAAAUCACUGCAGCGCUUGAGAACAUGAGACAAGCCAACCUUGAUGACAUGAUGCCUCUUCUACACGUGAUACAAACACUGAGCAGGUCAGAGGUUUUCACCAUUGUUCAUCAUAAUACAGAGGGACUGUCAGCUCACAUUAAUGACAUCAAGAAUCACCAUGAAUUGUGUCUAGCAGAUGUUUUGUGCCUAACAGAAACACACCUGCGGGGCUCUUUUGUCGCAGAGAGUCUCCACUUGGAAAAUUACAAUUUGUUCAAACGCAACAGACACCUGUCCUACACAAACUUUCCCCAGAUGGCAAACAGAAGUGGUGGUGGAGUUGCUGUUUAUGUGAAGAGUGACAUUCAAGUGCAUGAAAAACAGUACAUCCAUAAUGUAACUGACCUUGAAUUUCUGGCUUUAAAGGUUGAAGCACCAGUCAGUGCUCUGAUUGCAGUUGUGUACAGACCUCCAGACUACACUCUGAGGCCAUUCCUGAAAAACCUGGUAAGCCUAUUAGACUCAUUAGAGAUCAUGGACUGUCAUCCCAUCAUAGUGUGUGGUGAUUUUAAUGAGAAUGUUUUAUCCAUUGCAAACAAACCAAUCCUGGAGCUGUUUGAAUCUAGGGGAUACGCACAGGUCAUCACUGCCCCUACCACAGAGAAGAACACACUGCUUGACCUAAUUUUCAUUUCUCAGCCAGAGCGAUGUCUCCAUUCUGGAGUCAUGAAGACCUACCAUAGUUACCAUGACCCUGUAUACUGUGUAUUGUCCUGUGAUGAUUCAUGAACUAUAUCUUUGAAUACAAGCUGAGACACUCAGGACUGAACAGACUGCACAGCUUCUGUGACUGAGCCUCCAAAACACCUUCUUUGAAACCACACAUGAUAGAAGGGCUUUACGUUUGCAGCAGCACUACUAAAGUCGGCAGGAAUGUUGCUGCAGGAAAACAUCCCUGCAGAUCACCAUCAUUGUCAGACUGACUGUGCCUCCUUUGUGCAGUGUCAAGAUCCUCCCUAAAUGAGUGUUCCUCAGCUAUCCUGCUUCUGUGCUGCUUGCCACACAUCAAACACUGGCCGGAUGACAGGGAGGAUCCACUCUGAAGUCACUGGACAUGAUGAGGAUCAUAUGGGACUUUAUAGUUUCACAGAAAUGUUGUGCUCUUUGAUUACAGGUUUUAAAUGGACAUAAUGACUGCCUCUCUCUGAUCAACAGGCUAAAGGAUUGUUUUCAUUGUUAGUGCUCUGUACAAUGUAUGCUUAUUUAAUAUUUCAUCACAGAGCAAACCUUUAUUUAUUUAACAUAUUUUUAUUUUGUUUUAAUGUUGAAUUAACUGUGGGGAUUUUUUUAAGUGGGCACUCAGGAUGUCAUAUGACCAGAAAUGUGGUAACUGGAAUUCAACAGUAUGUAAAGAAAGAAUCUGCUAAGAACAAAACACACACAAAACCCCCCCAAGAGAACUCAAAUUCAUUCCAUGUAAUCCAGUCUAAAACAUUUUAAACUGCUGAACAGCAACACAAACAGUGUUAAAGAAACAGUGUUAACAGAAUAAUUAUGAUGAGUUUGUACCAAAGUUUCAGGUCACAUGGCACACCUAGUGUGUAGUGUGGGGUAUCAGCUGGUAAGUAUAGGUUUUUUCAUAUUUGUGUCCUUAGAGUUCAGAUAGAUUAAGCCUUGUGUAUAAUAAUUAGUCAUAACCACAACUCAAAGUCAGGGACUAACUAAAUUUGUGACUUUGUGUCUGAGCCCAGGUUAAAACACUGUGUAAAAAAGCAUUUAGUGGCAUGGCUGAACAAUGCUGUAAACUAAUGAUACUUAUUUAUCCACAAAAAGGACUAAUGUGUUUAUUUGAUUAUUUGUAUGUGUUAAACUGUGUCACCACCUUAGGCUUUCGUUUGAGUUCACUCAAAAAUCUCUAUACAGUUCUCUUUUACCACUGUGUGGACACUGUUUACAAUAAAACAUAAAAAAGAAUGAGUAAUAAAACGAUGUGUAGACAGAUCAGUAGACCGAUAGAAACAGCUGUUCAGCCAUGUUCUAAGAAACCAACACAAUUUAAAGGUUCAGGAUUGUGGUUUUAAAAGUUGAAUUUUCAUGUAUUUCAUAUGUUGCUUAUUAUUUUUAUUUGGUUAUUUAAUUUAGUUAUUUUUAUUUAUUCUCCUGUGAAGUGUUUAACAAAAAAAGCUACUUUAAUUUCAAUUUUAUUUGUUUAUUAUUUGGUAAUUUGUUCUUUAAGAAUCGAGUCUGUGCCAAAAACUAAAGUUGAACAGACACAUGACAGGAUCAGAUUAUUAACACCUUAAAACAUUGCAAACGUCUCUUUUUAAAAUGAUUUUUAUUGUAUUUCGAAAAAAACAUUUGUUGAAUUAAUUUAAGUUCUUUUCAGAAAGAAGCUGUACAAUAUGACUUAAGAUUUUUAUGUUAUUUUCUAUGACAUACAAAACAAAUUGAUGUAUGUAAUACCAUUAAACAUGAUAUACACAUGUGUAUAUGUCUGAAAAACAUUAUCCUGGAUAUUAAAGCUUGUAUUUUCUCCA